rnacentral:rRNA from 1 species
GACGAACCGUACGAACGUUAUUCGGAAUCACUGGGCUUAAAGGGUGCGUAGGCGGCGCGACAAGUUGGGUGUGAAAUCCCUCGGCUCAACCGAGGAACUGCGCCCAAAACUGUCGUGCUCGAGGGAGACAGAGGUGAGCGGAACUUAGGGUGGAGCGGUGAAAUGCGUUGAUAUCCUAAGGAACACCGGUGGCGAAAGCGGUUAUCGAGCUUAUACCUGACGCUGAGGCACGAAAGCAAGGGGAGCAAACAGG